rnacentral:rRNA from 1 species
GCGAAAGCCUGACGGAGCAAUACCGCGUGAGGGAGGAAGGCUCUUGGGUUGUAAACCUCUUUUCUUAGGGAAGAAGCUCUGACGGUACCUAAGGAAUAAGCAUCGGCUAACUCCGUGCCAGCAGCCGCGGUAAUACGGAGGAUGCAAGCGUUAUCCGGAAUCAUUGGGCGUAAAGCGUCCGUAGGUGGCAGUUCAAGUCUGCUGUUAAAGGCUGGGGCUUAACCCCAGACAGGCAGUGGAAACUGAACAGCUAGAGUGUGGUAGGGGUAGAGGGAAUUCCCGGUGUAGCGGUGAAAUGCGUAGAUAUCGGGAAGAACACCGGUGGCGAAAGCGCUCUGCUGGACCACAACUGACACUGAGGGACGAAAGCUAGGGGAGCGAAUGGGAUUAGAUACCCCAGUAGUCCUAGCCGUAAACGAUGGAUACUAGGUGUUGUGAGUAUCGACCCUCACAGUGCCGCAGCUAACGCGCUAAGUAUCCCGCCUGGGGAGUACGCACGCAAGUGUGAAACUCAAAGGAAUUGACGGGGGCCCGCACAAGCGGUG